rnacentral:lncRNA from 1 species
CGCGUUAUGCAAGUUCAAGUGCCGUUGCGACUAGUUCUUCUUCUUCUUCUCCAGGUUUCUUCAGCUGGUUGACUGGUGGAUCAUCUUCUUCGCUUAAUUCAUUGGACAUGCCACUACAGGGUGUGUCUCUUCCUCCACCACUUGCUGACCUUGUUGAGCCAAGCAAACUUAAGAUCACUACUCUCCCAAAUGGUCUCAAAAUCGCCUCCGAGAUGUCUCCCGUAAGUAAAUCUUAUGUUUACUUCUCUGAAGAUAGAAUCUUUUAAAAUGCGGUAAAUGAACUGAACGAAGUUAUUAUCUUGGUGUGUUAGAAUCCAGCAGCUUCCAUUGGUUUGUAUGUUGAUUGUGGUUCUAUCUACGAAGCUCCUUAUUUCCAUGGAGCAACGCAUUUGCUUGAGAGGAUGGCUUUCAAGAGCACGAGAAACAGGAGCCAUCUACGUCUCGUGAGGGAGAUUGAGGCUAUUGGAGGCAACACCUCCGCAUCUGCGUCUCGGGAGCAGAUGAGUUACACUAUUGAUGCUCUUAAGACCUAUGUCCCUGAAAUGGUUGAAGUUCUUAUUGACAGUGUGAGGAACCCUGCUUUCUUGGAUUGGGAAGUCAACGAAGAGGUGAUUCUCUUUUUUUCUCCUUUGUGGUUAUUUUAGUAACUCUUGUGAAAUUAUUUAUGUGACGUAUUGUCUUGUGGUUAUUUGGCAGCUACGUAAGAUGAAGCUAGAGAUAGCGGAACUUGCAAAGAACCCUAUGGGCCUUCUCAUGGAGGCCGUUCACUCUGCUGGUUAUUCCGGUGCAUUGGCGAAUCCUCUCUACGCACCUGAGUCUGCUUUGGACAGAUUGAAUGGGGAACUCUUGGAGGAGUUUAUGGCUGUAAGACCGCAUCAGCUUUUGAGAAUCUAUGUGAUUAAUGUCCUUAUUUGCUUACUCAUUUGAUAUGGGAAUUUCAGGAGAAUUUCACUGCUGCACGUAUGGUGCUGGCGGCAAGUGGAGUUGAACACGAGGAACUUUUAAAAGUUGUUGAGCCGUUGACUUCAGACCUUCCUAAUGUACCGCGCCAGGCGGAACCAAAAUCUCAGUAUACUGGUGGAGAUUUCCGCCAACAUACUGGUGGAGAGGUAAUCAUGACAGAUUUGCUUUCAUUGAACAAGUGUGUUUGAGAUGAAAGUGUAUUUAUGUCACAAUACUACGUGAGCUUAUUCUGUUCUGUCAUCUUCAGGCUACGCACUUUGCUCUCGCCUUUGAGGUUCCUGGCUGGAAUAACGAGAAAGAAGCAGUCAUCGCCACUGUUCUCCAGGUUUAACUUGAAUAUUUAAUGUUUGCUUGUGUCAAAAAUAUUUACUUGUUUUAAUCAAAUUCUAUUGACUGAAUAUAAUUUAAUUCGAAUUGCUAUUAGAUGCUUAUGGGAGGAGGUGGGUCGUUCUCUGCUGGAGGCCCUGGAAAAGGAAUGCACUCAUGGCUAUGUAAGUCAAUUCUUGUGUUUAUAUCGCUUUCUUGAGCUUUCUGUUUUCACGUUUGUUGAACUAGUUCAUUAGUUCUCAACCGAUCAGUAAUAGUGAUAAAAAUUCCUAUGUCUGUUUUUACAGAUCUCCGUAUUCUUAACGAAUACCAGCAAGUGCAGUCAUGCACUGCUUUCAGUAGCAUCUUUAACAACACCGGGUUGUUUGGAAUCUAUGGUUGCUCGGUUAGUUUAAGCAAUCCUGAUCUAUGCUCUUCCUUAUAAAUCAACUAUCCACUUAAUCUCAUUGAUUAUAGUUGUAAUUUGUGUGGGUAUUAAUACCUUCAACUUUAAGGAAUAUCGAUUUUGUGGGGGUAUUAGGCUAUGUCUUGUUUGUGUGACUUGACGACUUCUUUGCUUCAUAUGUGUUCUAGUACAUAUUUUGAUACGAUUUACAUCCAUGAGUGCAGAGUCCCGAGUUCGCUGCAAAAGCAAUUGAAUUAGCAGCUAAAGAAAUGAAAGAUGUUGCCGGAGGAAAAGGUUUGCAGUUUGUUUCUUCUGUUUUCUCCUAUUAUAAUCUUAACAAGUCGAAGCCGUUGUUUACAUCUGUUUAUUUGUUUGGACAGUUAAUCAGAAGCAUCUUGAUCGCGCCAAGGCAGCCACAAAAUCUGCAGUUCUGAUGAAUUUGGAAUCACGGGUAUUCUCACUACGAUCAAACCGUUUUGCUUGAAAAGCAUGUUUGUACGAUUCGAACCGAUUAGAUUUUACUAACGAGUUAAUGUAUGUCCUAUGCAGAUGAUUGCAGCAGAAGACAUUGGCAGGCAAAUUCUUACAUACGGAGAGAGGUACACGCAAAUGUCUUUUAGAAAAGAAAAAAAAUUAAAAACAGCGUAGUAUUCUUCUUGCGCAUACCCGUGUGUUUAUAAAUGAAUAAAUAUUGCAGGAAACCAGUUGAGCAAUUCCUGAAGACAGUUGAUGGACUAACCUUGAAGGACAUUACAGAUUUCACCAGCAAGAUUAUCUCAAAGCCUUUGACAAUGGGUUCCUUCGGAGAUGGUAAACAAGUUUUCACUCUUUUCUUACUAGUUUUAUAUACGUUUUUAAUGUCAAAAAAGUCAAGAUUUUGUGUUCUUUCUUUUGGCAGUGUUGUCUGUUCCUAGCUACGACACCAUAAGCAGCAAGUUUUCUUGAAGCAGCAAACAAGUUGCGAGAAAAUCAACAUUACUUUGGGACAUGUAAAAUAAAGAAGGAUGUUUGGGAAAAGAAGACUGGACCAUUUAAAAUUUCUAUUUCUUACGAAAUGGAUUUUGUUUCCAUCUACAGUUGAAAUGGCUGGCAUUUUUCCUGUCCGUCUCUCCAACUUUCAAGAAUUAUUUGUAUUCCAAUAAUUAUUUUUUCACAACUUCAUGCAGUUAUGCUACUUACUGUAUGUCAUUUUUCACAAUUUGUUUUACUUGGUUGAACAUGAAACAGAUAUCUUUUGGACAUGGUAGCUCGUGUGUAAUUUGACAAGUAGUAGCCGACGGUAACGACGAAAAUUUGUUUAUGGAACUGCAGUUAUCGACCGUCGAAUGAUGAUCUGCAACUCUAUGACUACAUUUAAUAGGGCACAACUCUAACCCUCAUCUCUAAAGGAAGAAUCAAAUGCUGAAAAGUGAAAACACUUCUCUUCUUGUCUCGAUUUUCAAGUUUAUUGUUCGUUUUAUCAAACUUGUAAUAUGUCAUUUUAAAAAUAGGGAGAAUUUGUGAAAUAACCAAGAAAAAAACCAAAAUUAGAUUUUUAGAGAGAGGGAUGAGAGAGAUAGGAAGGGAAAGGAAGAGAGAGAAGAAGAUUUUGGUUACUUAGCUAAUUUGAGUUUUUUGUUUGGUUAUGGGAUGCAAUUUCCCUUAAAAAUAUCUAGUGGAAGGAUCACACUUAGAAGCGUUUCAGUAUUUAAUUCAGCUAUAUACAACAUAGAUGGAUUUGUUUGAUAAACUUCAAGACAUGAUCUGGUAGAGACACUCGUAAGCUACACAGCGUACACUGAUGUGGUCGAUUAAGGAGAGAUUAAUAAUCUUCACAAAUGUUAAUAAGUGGACCGUAGCAAUUAUAGGCCCAUUUAUCCCAACUUAGGCCCAUUUAAAUUAAAAACGGUCAUCUACAUCGACGCUUCCUACUCAAGAGAACUCGUUCCCUUCUCCGCCGCAAACAUGAGGCUUCUUCGCCGCCGUUUCUUUAUCUUCACCGAUGGAAUUUCCGGAGCCAACCGGCGAAGAUACGCAACCAAGUAUGUCGCCAAGGUCACUUCAUCAUCUCCCUCCGGCCGUUCUCUGUCCGCCGAAGUUUCCCUUCCUAAUCCCCUCCCCUCCGACGUACGCGGCUACGCUCUCCCUCGGCGUCACCUCAUCUGCCGAGCAACCAAUCUCCUUCUCCGCCACGAAACCUCUUCAAUAGAGAAAGAGAAUGGAGAGUUGUGUGAAUUGUUGUGGAGAGACGUAUGAAUUGUUGCGAGAAAGAGAAUAAUAGAGAAAGAGAAUGGAGAAAAGUGUGAAAUGUUGUGAGAUAGAGAAAGUACAUUAAACACAGAAACAAAGAAACUUAAACAGUUAGACUUAUACUUAUAUAAAUUAGCUAGACAGAAAGUCAUUGAAUAGCUUCUGCUUGAGUGCUUCUUCAUAGUCAACAAGAGGUUCUUUUUCGCAAUCAGACUGUCAAGAAGAUUCAUCUUCGACAACCUUUCCUUCAUUGUCAAAUUUUGUUGUUUAAUAGACCACAUACUUUCAAACUCAUUCAGUGCAUUCUCCUCUGCCAAUGUCUUCUUACCGCGAGCCUUUGCGGCCUUAACACCCGGCGGACGCUUGUUCUCAGUAGCUUGAGAGCCUGACGAAGCAGCACCGUCAUCACACUUCAUCUUCUUAGAGAUCCCAUCGUUUUUAGCAGUAGCAAGGUCGCACCACUUCUGGUCGUCCCGGAGCUCCUUCCAAACGCGUUCCAGUGUGAAUUUCUUUUUAUGGUUAUUGUAGGAAAUUUGAUGAGCUAGUUUCAGAACGUCAUUAUCGUUUUGACCGCUACUCUUCUCUCUGCUUGCAUCUUCAAAGGCUCAACAAAACUUGCAAACAAGAUCAUUGAUCUUGUACCAUCGUUGCUUGCAAUGACUAGGCUCUCUCUGCUCGCAGCCAGCUACUGGAGGUCUUGCCGCAAAGUACGCUGCUACUCUUGUCCAGAAAGCGCCUGAUUUUUUCUCGUUGUUGACGACUGGAUUUUUGCUCGUGUUUAACCACGAGCUGAUGAGGAGAAUAUCAUUCGUUGGCGUCCACUUCCGUCGUUCUCUAUGCUCCAUAGCAGUCUCUCCACCAUCUUCGGUUCCUAGCGUGCUUUGAAACAAAGGUUGUGAUGAAGAUAGUGAGGCACUAUCUUCAUAGUUACCGAACGAAAUGCUUUGUUGACUAUGAAGUAGUUCAACAUAUUUUUAACUCUGGGUAGAUGGAUAAGAAUCCAUAUCCGAAGUAAGCUCAAGGAAGAGAGAAAAAAAGAAGAAAGUGGGAAGAGAAUCACACGGUUUGAACAAGGAAGAGAUAAAGAAAAGAAGUGAGGUGAGAAAGUAGGAAGAGAAGAGACACGAUUUAUGUAAGGAAGGGAAGGAUCAAUGCAUUGAUCACAACCACCCAUAACCGAGUAGACAUAUAUCUAAAAGCAUUCAUCACACAACCCCCUUCUACACAGAACACCAAAUCAAUUUAUUACCUAAACCUACCAUUAUCUCACACAAACCACUUAAACAUCUAUUUAAUACCUAACCUAACACAAAACUACAAUUCAAUUCUAUCCAGACAUGAGUAAAAAUCAACAACAAUCAUACCAUAUUUCACAAACCACCAACCAAUAUAUUUAUCAUGAUUAAUCCUAUUUAACAUAGCAAAGAAAAAGGUUUAAUCCAAUUCAAAAUUCAUUUCAAACAACCAUUAAAAUAAAAAACAAUCGCAUCAUAACUCACAAACCAACAACAAAUUUAAGCAAUGGUUUAUCUAAUUCAACAGAGCCAAGAGAAAGUUUAAUCCAAUUCAAAUGAUCAAAGAGAAAGGUUUUACCUUUAUGAACAAGAAGUGUGGAGUUUUGUCUGACAAAGAGAAAGGUUUAUCCUUGAUCGUGCCUCUUUCUCAAUCACUCGCAAGACACAAAAACAGAAAAAAAAUAUCAAAACAAAUCAGAGGACUGGACUUCUUAAGAUUCACGAUGAAAGAGCACAAUCAAAGACAUGCAUAAUUGAAAUAUUCAAACAUUAAAACAUAUGAACUCAUCUUUACCUUUCGAAUCACUGUUUUCCUUCGUUUCCGAGAGCCUCCACGAGAGAGAUCUCGCUGUUAUCCUUCGUCGAGAAGAGCAACCGAUAGAGGGGACGCCGUUUUACUUCGAGAGACGCCGAUUCGUUGAGAAGAGCCACCGACCGGGAGAAAUAUCGCUAUUUUCGUUGCCAAGGAGACGAGAGAAGGAAGAGAGAAAGAAGGAAAAGAGAGAAAAAGACGAAACCGUGAGACACCACCUCUCUUCUCUCCAAUGCUUUUGUUUUGACUGCUUAAUUAAGUGAAGGGUCUUACCUUAAUGACCGUUUUGUUCUUUUUUUUAAAUGAUAAAAUCAAAUGUAAGCUAAGAUAAACGUGCUCUUAAAAUUCUUAUUCUGAUAUAGUCGGCUCCGUGAACUAAUUCAUCUGAUGGGCCAACCCCAUAUAAACAUUUGGGCCUAUGAUAAGCAAUACGUAAGCAGCAAAACUCGCAGUCUCUCUCACCUUCUCAAUUCAUCUCUUCCCUUCCCUUCCGAUUUAGGGUUUCCACAGUCGCCAUGUAUCGCACGGCAGCUUCACGAGCCAGGGCUCUCAAGGUUUGUUACCUUAGCCUUUGAUCGUUUCACGAUUGAUGUUCUCUUGUAAGCGUCUGGAACCUUCGCGUAGUGAAUAGAUUCGUCCUGAUUCGGAUUAUUCUUAUUCCGAUUGAAUUACCCGCGACGAUGGGACUGUUAUUACUGCUUAGGCUUACGAGUGAUCGAGUCUUUGUUUCGCAGUUUCUGAAGUCAAAUCUAACUAGAAAUGGAUUUGCCUCUAUCGUUUCAAAUGGAUCGUAUUCUUGUUUUGUGAUAGGGAUCUCUUAGCCGGAGUUUGAGACCGGCGCGUUAUGCAAGUUCAAGUGCCGUUGCGACUAGUUCUUCUUCUUCUUCUCCAGGUUUCUUCAGCUGGUUGACUGGUGGAUCAUCUUCUUCGCUUAAUUCAUUGGACAUGCCACUACAGGGUGUGUCUCUUCCUCCACCACUUGCUGACCUUGUUGAGCCAAGCAAACUUAAGAUCACUACUCUCCCAAAUGGUCUCAAAAUCGCCUCCGAGAUGUCUCCC